UACGUAGGUGGCAAGCGUUGUCCGGAUUUACUGGGCGUAAAGAGCGCGCAGGCGGUCGGAUCAGUCGAAUGUGAAAGCCCCCGGCUCAACUGGGGAGGGUCAUUCGAUACUGUCCGACUCGAAGGCAGGAGAGGGAAGCGGAAUUCCCGGUGUAGUGGUGAAAUGCGUAGAUAUCGGGAGGAACACCGGUGGCGAAGGCGGCAUUCUGGACCGAUAUUGACGCUGAGGAGCGAAAGCCAGGGGAGCAAAGCGGG
rnacentral:rRNA from 1 species